rnacentral:lncRNA from 1 species
UGUAAGAACCCAAAACAAAAUAUCAAAAAGAAAGAAAAUAUCUUAAAAAGGUAAGGAAAAUAUCUUUUAGCGAAAUGACCAAAUUGCCCUCGCAUAUUUUAUUAGGGGAAAAUUUGACUUUUUAAUCGAGAAAGAAUUUGGGAAUUUCGCUUACGCCAUUGCGUAGAGCGCGGCGAAAGGAGUUCGUAGACACGGAGUAGACCCGAAUCGGAGCCGUAACGAAGAAGUUAUGGUCUAAAAACCGCGAAGGGCAAAAUGGUAAUUUGGCCAAAAAGUCAGAUUUUAUACCCUCUCUCUCUUCUCCCCGUCACUUUCUCUCUCCUCCCUCUCUCUCCUUCGCGCGAUUUGGGUCGUGCGACCCUUCGCCUUCCAAGGGACGGCCCGGCCACCACAGGCCGAGCCGAUCUCCGCCGUGGGUACCUACGGGUCCGCCUUCGUGUCGCCGUCACAACCUGACCGACCUCAACCCCGGGGCCGCCCUGAGCUGGCCGGAAAAUUAUGUUUUCCGGCGGAGGUUCCUCCGAAGCUACCCAAACUUCCAGCUCGAAAUUCUCCUUCGUUUCUCCACCAAAUCGAUCGAGUAAGG